rnacentral:rRNA from 1 species
AUUGAACGCUGGCGGCAGGCCUAACACAUGCAAGUCGAACGCGUGGCGGACGGGUGAGUAAUGUCUGGGAAACUGCCCGAUGGAGGGGGAUAACUACUGGAAACGGUAGCUAAUACCGCAUACCAUCGGAUGUGCCCAGAUGGGAUUAGCUAGUAGGUGGGGUAAAGGCUUACCUAGGCGACUAUCCCUAGCUGGUCUGAGAGGAUGACCAGCCACCCUGGAACUGAGACACGGUCCAGACUCCUACGGGAGGCAGCAGUGGGGAAUAUUGCACAAUGGGCGCAAGCCUGAUGCAGCCAUGCCGCGUGUAUGAAGAAGGCCUUCGGGUUUUAAAGUACUUUCAGCGGGGAGGCGUUACCCGCAGAAGAAGCACCGGCUAACUCCGUGCCAGCAGCCGCGGUAAUAC